GGAGGAUGCAGAUGAAGGGACGAGGAGGAUGAAAAUGAAUGGACAAGGAGGAUCAAGAACGGACAAGGAGGAUCAAGAAGGAUAUAGAGAAAUGAGGAGGAUGCUAAUGCAGAAACGAGGAGGAUGCAGAUGAAGAGACGAAGAUGCCGAUGAAG